rnacentral:misc_RNA from 1 species
CACCCCGAAGGGCAUAAGUUCAUACAAAUACCAUUCAGCUACAAAGGCUUUACCAAAGAAACUGAAUAAAUUUAAAUAUCUUACACAAUUUCUUUCACAAAAAAUAUAUGCAUUUUCAUUUCUACAUUGUUCUAUCUUAACCAAGAAAAUAAUUUUAAUAUAAUAAUGAAGAAAUACACUUCACGCUUAAAAAUUCAGGCAUGACCUGGACUAAAGACACCAAAUCAUAACUCAGCAAAAUGCCAUAACCUUUAAGCACUCCUGCCAUGGCUCUAAAUUUAGUUUUGUAUAAGAACCUCUGAGCCUCUGACAUCUAAAAAGUAAAAACACACCUAACUUUCCUCAAAAGAGCCUAAAAUAAACAAUAUGCAACAGAAUUUUUGCAACCCAAAACUGAUUUGUUAAGAGAAAAGGAACAGAACUUGGAGAAUGGGUAUGAUAGAGUAAAAAGAUUUACAAGGAAACAUUUGAAAAAAGUUCAAAAGAUCAACUCCCAUCUAAACUAGAAAAAGGCAGAAAGGAAUCGUAGAAAAGGUAAUAUUUACUAUAUUCUAAAAGUACAGAUUUCUAAAAGUACAUAAUGAUAAUUUAGAACAUUACAUCUAAUAGCUCCUAAAUAGCUUCAACACACGACAAUGAACUAACUGCUAAUAAAAGUAUGUAAAGCCCCAAAAUAGUUAUUUAAGGAUUCAUUCCAGAGAGCCAUGAAUCCGUUGUGCUAAAAUAACAAGGAAGAAUAAAAUUUUUAUUUAAACCUUUCCGAUCAAUAAAUCAACAGG